rnacentral:rRNA from 1 species
UAUGUGAUCGUCUCUCGCAUAUCAAUAAGCGGAGGAAAAGAAACUAACAAGGAUUCCCCUAGUAACGGCGAGUGAAGCGGGAAGAGCUCAAAUUUGAAAUCUUAAAGGGUUUCCCUUUACGAAUUGUAGUUUAAAGAAGUGUUUUCUGUUGAGGUUUUGGUAAAAGUUCUUUGGAAUAGGACAUCAUAGAGGGUGAGAAUCCCGUAUUUGACCCUUACUUUCAACUUUGUGAUACACUUUCAAAGAGUCGGAUUGUUUGGGAAUGCAGUCCAAAAUGGGUGGUAAAUUUCAUCUAAAGCUAAAUAUUGGCGAGAGACCGAUAGCGAACAAGUACCGUGAGGGAAAGAUGAAAAGAACUUUGAAAAGAGAGUUAAACAGUACGUGAAAUUGUCAAAAGGGAAGCGUUUGACACCAGUGUUGUUUUUCUGAAAAUCAAUUAAAGAACUGUUUAUGCUAAGUUGUUUAGACUUUAUCAGCUAACUGUUUAGUUUUGAGCUUUUCUUUAAUGCACUUUUCAGUUAACAAGUCAACAUCAAUUUCUUUUGCUGUAAAAAAGCUUGAGGAAGGUGGCUUGAGAUUCGUCUUAAGUGUUUAUAGCCUCUUGCCUAUGCAGUCGGAGAGAUUGAGGUCUGCAGCGUAGAUCCUUCGGGGCUAAAUGCAUUUGUGCUAAGUUAUAGCAUUUUAUAGACAACUUGUUGACUAUGAUUUGUCUUGUAGCUUACUCGCUUAUGUUAUUUUACCUACGCUUAGGAUGUUGACACACGCGCGUGCUCG